rnacentral:rRNA from 1 species
AUUGAACGCUGGCGGCAUGCCUUACACAUGCAAGUCGAACGGCAGCACGGGAGCAAUCCUGGUGGCGAGUGGCGAACGGGUGAGUAAUAUAUCGGAACGUGCCCAGUCGUGGGGGAUAACGUAGCGAAAGCUACGCUAAUACCGCAUACGAUCUAUAGAUGAAAGCGGGGGAUCGCAAGACCUCGCGCGAUUGGAGCGGCCGAUAUCAGAUUAGGUAGUUGGUGAGGUAAAGGCUCACCAAGCCGACGAUCUGUAGCUGGUCUGAGAGGACGACCAGCCACACUGGGACUGAGACACGGCCCAGACUCCUACGGGAGGCAGCAGUGGGGAAUUUUUGGGACAAUGGGCGAAAGCCUGAUCCAGCAAUGCCGCGUGCAGGAUG